GAGAGAGAGAGAGAGAGAUUGAGAGAGAGUGUAUACAUACAUACACACACACAUAUAUAUGUAUAUAUAUAUAUAUAUAUAUAUAUAUAUAUAUAUAUAUAUAUAGUAGUUCCUGAAGACAACAGAAUAACUUUAGAUAACUAGAACUCUAUUCUAAACUGAGUUUCUAUUCGUUGUAGGGCAGAGUAAUUCGCUUUAUGAGCUAGUUAUACACUAUUAAUAUGUACUCUACACAUUUAGUAAUACAGUCAUUCUUUUAACAUCACGUCUAGCACCGCACGAGCAUAAAAUCCAUUAGGAACCUCUCUCAGCCCAUCUGAGCCUAUAUCCACUUCCGGUUUGACUCACGUUACAAGCGUGGUUUUCCUGGCGCGAGGAUUUUGGGAAAUGUAGUCCUAACCGGAAUGCUGGUAGUGACUCAAAAGCAAAACAGCAACGUAAAAUAACGACAACAGGUUCAUUGUCAUACAUGUUGCAUAUAAUAUCGUAAACAUAGCUAAGAUUAUAUUUAAAUCAGCUCAAGAAAAGUUUACAGGCUAACGGCACAAUCUAAAGACUACAUCACCCAGCUCUGCGCGCUAUGAAACCGAGGCAGCGUAAACAGUACUUCAGGAACAUGAAAAGAUAAUCGUAACAUAGCUAAGAUUAUAUUAAAUCAGCUCAGAAAGUUUACAGGCUAACGGCACAAUCUAAAGACUACAUCACCCAGCUCUGCGCGCUAUGAAACCGAGGCAGCGUAAACAGUACUUCAGGAACAUGAAAAGAUCGGAUGACAGUGAGAGGGAAAAGAGGAGAAAGUCUGCCCUCUCUCUCUCUGAUGGCAUGCGUUUGGAUCUUGUCUGACAGCAGGGAGUCUGUGUAGUACGUGGUUCCUCCACUUUAUUGCAGCUGCCACAGGAACCAGAUGAGUCCCUGAGAACUUGAUCCAGCUGGUUUCAGGUCUGUAGAGCAGACGGACAGACAGACAGGUCUGCUACCCUGCCCCAUCUCAUUUCGACUUAUCUCUUUCUUCACAAAAAUAACGGAUAUGGGAAGAAAACCACCGAGCAGCUAGACUGAGGGUCUGGUGUGUGUUCCUGCGGUUCCUUAAUAUAAAACGCGGGUCCAUUUAAUCAUAAUAAUAAAUAAAAGGGAGUACAUUGUUGUCCCAGCCAUAAACAUGUGUGCAUUUGUGCCCAAUAACUAGGAUGUGGAUGGAUGUCAGGCCCAAUAACUAGGAUGUGGAUGGAUGUCAGAAGAAGGCCUGUGAACUAUCCGUCUACAAAAAGGUAAUUAUUUUUAUCCUUAGUUCAGCUUCGCCAGGCAUUUCCUAACCAUAUGUGGCACAUAUGUAUGAUAAAAAGAGCACUUCCAUUAUCAUGCGCUAAAAGAGGGAGACUAUACUAUUGGCUAAUAGCCUAUUAAAAACUGACUUCAUCCUUUUAGAAGUGACCUUACACGGCCUUCAACCUAAAAAUACUGUUUUAGUAGUAGACAAAGGGACAUUGGACAAUCAGAGUUGGUGAUUUUAAUGUUGCCAGGGUGACCACAAAGAUCCCACUGAAGUAUUAUUCAAUUAUAAAUGCCAUUUUGACCAU
rnacentral:lncRNA from 1 species